CGGCACGGGUGAGUAACACGUAUCCAACCUGCCGUCUACUCUUGGACAGCCUUCUGAAAGGAAGAUUAAUACAAGAUGGCAUCAUGAGUUCACAUGUUCACAUGAUUAAAGGUAUUCCGGUAGACGAUGGGGAUGCGUUCCAUUAGAUAGUAGGCGGGGUAACGGCCCACCUAGUCUUCGAUGGAUAGGGGUUCUGAGAGGAAGGUCCCCCACAUUGGAACUGAGACGCGGUCCAA
rnacentral:rRNA from 1 species